ensembl:lncRNA
GAAAGAGGCGACAGGUGAAUGGGUGGGCAGGUAGUGGACGGAUGCAGAGGUGGGUGGAUGAAUGGAUGGAUGCCUGGAUGGGUCAGCUAUGACAAGCAGGCCCAGAUCCCACUUAACAGGCAAGGCCUAGGCCUGGGACCCCGAGCUCGGCUUUCACCUGGGCCUUCCUUGUGUUCCAUGUAACUUUAUCAGCCAUUUCCUGGGAGAGCAACCGAGGCCCUGGGUCUUGUCCACCCAGCCCCUGGCCCAGCGAGAGACAGACCGAGCUCCGUGUCCCAAGCUGGAGCAUCCUGAGGGUGUGUGUGGCUGGCCUCUGGCCCCACCCAGGGCCCAGGCCAAGAAGGUCCAAGCACAAGGGCUUGCCGAGGACACAGGCGAGGCUGGGAGUCGGGAGACCAUGGCCUUUAACUCUCCUUGGGGCAUCAGAGCCGUGCCCACCCUCCUGCCCUGCCACGUCUCUCCCUGAGGGGUCCUGAGACCCCAGAGGCGGGAGCCCCGUGGGUGUCUUCAGAGCUGCAGGGUCCUGGCCCCUCCCUGGGCGGCUGCAGCCUCAGUCCUGAGACCGGGCACUGGCUGCCCGUGUCCCCUCCGGAGAGUCGGGGCAGGGGAGGGCGCUGGCCUGGCCCCGCCCGAGCAGGCGCAGGCCUGGCAAAGCCUCUGUGUCUUACAGAACCUCAGCCCUGGCUGGUGCUGGACCUGAUGCAGGGCAGCCCCGAGGAGGACAGCCUGGAGGACAGCCUGUGGCCCACGACCGUCACCCUGCUCACCCUCUUCCUGCUGAGCCUCUUCUACAGCACAGCGCUGACCGUGACGAGCAUCCGGGCCACACCGGACAGCCGGCAGGUCCCCCAGUACUGAGCAGGAGCCAGCCGGGCAGGAAGGAAACUUGAGGAGCCUCCAGAGAGCCCAGCUGGAUAAAAGGCAUCAGUCCCGGUCAGAAGCCACAGCCCCACCCACAAAGGCCUUCCUUUCUGGUGCAAUAAAUUAUCCCAAAGGCAGACGUUUUCAGACUCUGAAUGAAGGGAGGGGAAGAAGGGGGGCAGAGGCUCUGGAGACACAAAUGCCUGUCUCAUGGAUGAAGGAGG